GACGAACGCUGGCGGUGUGCUUAACACAUGCAAGUCGAGCGGUGAUCCAUCUUCGGGUGGUGAUCAGCGGCGAACGGGUGAGUAACACGUGGGCAACCUGCCCCGAGCACUGGGAUAACAGCGGGAAACCGCUGCUAAUACCGGAUACGACCACUGACCGCAUGGUCCGGUGGUGGAAAGGAUUCCGGCUCGGGAUGGGCCCGCGGCCUAUCAGCUAGUUGGUGGGGUAAUGGCCUACCAAGGCGACGACGGGUAGCCGGCCUGAGAGGGCGACCGGCCACACUGGGACUGAGACACGGCCCAGACUCCGACGGGAGGCAGCAGUGGGGAAUGUUGCACAAUGGGCGAAAGCCUGAUGCAGCGACGCCGCGUGAGGGAUGAAGGCCUUCGGGUUGUAAACCUCUUUCAGUAGGGAAGAAGCGCAAGUGACGGUACCUACAGAAGAAGCACCGGCUAACUACGUGCCAGCCGCCGCCGUAACAC
rnacentral:rRNA from 1 species